CGUCGACGUUGGAUUUGGUUUUAGUCGCGUCCGUAUUCAAUUGAUUGCCAGGUGACGGAUUGUGCAACAAAUAUUUCGUACUAUCCGUCACCUGCGUGGGAUCUUGUGUGUACGCAGAGCUUGCACUGUCCGAAGAAAUGGCAGAGAGUAUCAAUUGGCGAACUAUGGUGCCCCCCUCCUUCCUGCGGACAAUUGACCACUCGUAUCGGCGUUUGGUACUGUUAAUGUUGGUGCACAGGUUGUUCAGUCGACGGGGGCGGCGUGUGUUGCAUUCUAAAGGAGUUGUACACAUGCAUUGUUUUCCUGAAAAGUGUAGGGAGGGAGGGUGUCGUCAACGAUGCCGUGGGGACGAGUCUUGAAAAUUUUGGACAAGGAAGCCGUUCCUCCGUUGAGCCAUGUCGUCAACGCUCUGCCAACUGCAUGGUUGCGCCCCUGCGUUGGUACGUUACAAUAUAUUCUUGUAAACCUUUGCGAGGCGCAUAACUAUUUUCAAUCUGUUAGUUCCAUAAAAGAAUUUGGGUCCAAUUGAAAUGCUUUGCUUAGAUCAAAGUAGCCGUGGGAAGGUGAAAGUCUCCAGAAAUAUCUUCUGCUGCUUUAAAGCUUUGAGAGGGGUGGUGGUUGCUGUAACUGUUUCCUGUGCUUGUGUAGACUUUGGGAGAAAUUUGCCUAAAAGAACAGACAGGAAAUUGACUGGCUGGGAGGUUAGACGUGAUUCAAACUUUUAGGAAAGACGAACUUAAAGAAAAACAGAUCAAUGACGGUGACGAUGUUUGUCACGGUUUAUCUUGUUAGUUUGACAAAUGCUGUUGUAGUCAGGGGUAUAAAAAUGACGGCGCGCCGUCUGUGCGGCAUCCUGAUGCUUUGAGUAAACCGUUGACAUAAAUUGCAGUCGAGAAGAGUGCAACUGAAUACGACCAGGAUAACAAGUGAAUCAGGAGAAAUUGAUUGGAUUGCUUCAACCUUGCAGCAUGUCGUAGCCCAUGACUACACCGUGCUGUUCUUUGCAAUGGAUUUGUCACAUGCAGACUAUAUCCAAUAGAGCCAUUGGUCAUUUUCACGCAGAGGAUGUUCUCUUGCGCCAACCACAAGCCAUGGAAUGGUGACGCAAGGAAACCACGACACACACAGAGAGUAUUCCGUUUUACAAUUGGUGAAAUGCUUGCUUGCGUGCAACAUCCUGCUGGGAGACGCCCCGGCAACAAAACGGCUCCAGUUGCAACAUCUUCUACCCUGUGGAUGCUCUUAUUACUCGAAAUGGCUUCAAGGCUAUCGCAAAUUAUGUUGCCGAAGACUGAAUCCUCGGAGCCUUCUUCUCAGGUGUGAGAGCUCAACCAUUUCCUGUGCAUGUGCUUUUCUUUCUGAAAAAAUAUGGUGUCGAUGCCUUGAUUGUAAGGCUCCGUCAUUCAGCAUUGCUCCUGCUUGGUUUCUGCACAAUGUUGGUGUGGAUUCUGCACAAUGUUGGUGUGGAUUCUGCACCAUGCUUUUGCAAAUAAGUGUUUUGUUGUUUCAUUUGGAAUCGAAUGUGGGUGGUGAUGAGUGUGGGUGUUUUUUGAGAUUGUUAAAAAUUCUUCGGUGGAUUUUGAUUUUAAUUUUUUGAUAAUGAAUGUUGACUUUUAGAGGAAAAGUGGAUAAUUUGUUGAAUUAUUUUGGUGGUUUGAGUGUAUUUUACUUUGAUUUUUGCAGAAGGCUUUAUCUCUCAAAUUUGUGGUGAUUGUUUUAAUGUUGUCUUUGAAAUAUAUCAUUAAUAAUCAUAAUAUCAAUGCUAGAAUGUUUAUAUAAAAUGAAUCUAUUAUAAUCUAUAUAACUCAAUGUAUUAUAACUUGAUAACUUCUAAUAAAUGAUAACAUUUGUUAUUAUCUAUUAUAAAGUUGUAAUUAUAUAUUUUUUUAUUAUUUUCUAUCUAAUAAAAUUUACUAAUAUAUCAUAUUAUGGAUAUUUAUUGAAUAGAUAAAGAAUAUUCUAUUUUAAACUACCAUAAUCCUAUUUCAAUAAUUUGAUAUAUUUUGUUUCAAGUUGCAAUGAAGUUGCAAUAAAGGCAAAUGAAGUUGUAAUAAAGAGCCCUCUAUAGGAGUGAUAAUUGCAAUGAAAGCAAAUCAAGUUAUAAUAAAGAGCCUUUUGCACAAGUUUUUUGAUAUCAAGUAGUCAAUUUGUAAUUUGAUAUUAAAAAUGUAAUAUAUGUCAAAACACAAUAUAUCUCAAGAGCCAAUCAAUGCCUCUUAUUAUGAUUAAAAAAAAAUUACAUGAAUUGUAUUGCAUCUAAAAGUAAUAUGAAAUUAUUAAUAUAAUUGAGGUGA